AUUGAACGCUGGCGGCAGGCUUAACACAUGCAAGUCGAGCGAGCGGCGGACGGGUGAGUAAUGUCUGGGAAACUGCCUGAUGGAGGGGGAUAACUACUGGAAACGGUAGCUAAUACCGCAUACCAUCAGAUGUGCCCAGAUGGGAUUAGCUAGUAGGUGGGGUAAUGUCUCACCUAGGUGACGAUCCCUAGCUGGUCGGAGAGGAUGACCAGCAACACUGUGUCUAGGACACGGUCCAGACGCCUACGUGAGGGAUCAGUGGGGAAUAUUGGACAAUGGGCGCAAGCCUGAUGCAGCCAUGCCGCGGGUGUGAAGAAGGCCUUCGGGUUGUAAAGCACUUUCAGCGAGGAGGCGUUACUCGCAGAAGAAGCACCGGCUAACUCCGUGCCAGCAGCCGCGGUAAUAC
rnacentral:rRNA from 1 species